GCCUACCACACAAGUCAGUGCAGAAGUGUCAUUGUUACUUUCGAUUACUCAUGUUUAAAGAAACAAAUAGGUCAGAGUCGAAAAGAGGCAGGGCCCUGGCCAGUGGGGGGUGGGGUCCGACGGGAGCCUGGGAUUUCAGCGAGACCACAGGCCAGGUCUUGCGCGGGGUCUCAGCCCCCGGGCCAGGUCGCGAGCCCAUUGGGUCGCCCACCACGUGCCUCCCCUCCCGCUUCAGGCCUGGACCCGGGGCUCCUGCUGCCACUCCCUACCCAGCCAGCUCUGCCUCCUAGGAUCCCGCCCCGAGCGCCGGCGACGCGUCUACUCGGUCCUGUGGACAGCUGCUUCUCCUAGACUGCAGGGGCCUCCACUAGCCUUUAUAAGAGAUGAAAAGUUGUUCCAGACCUACGUCAAACGUUGACAGGGCUACCCCACUACACAGGGGAAGGAGUUUCGGGGCUGGGAAGCUGGAGCCGGGAGCUGCAGCCCAGCAUCUGCAGGAGGGCUCCCCCCGCCCCAAGAGAGAUAAACCAAACACCGCCUCAUCAGAUAAGAACGACGCCCUCGAUUUCACGGAUUUCAAGCAGGGGUUGGAGGCACUGAGGUCAGUAGAGUCCUGUGAAUGAACAUCACCCGAGGCCCAGCUCCCGCAGAAGAGGGUUUUUAUUUUAUUUUCUUUUGUUUGGUAUUAUUUCAUUUUCUAACACAAUGAUCUUUAGUCUGAAGCCUUGGUCUCUGGCAGGCAAAGCCCCUUCUUUAGCGCUGGGGAUGGUCUGCAGGGUCCCACCUCUGUCCACAUCGGUGCCCCACGCUCUCCCCGUCUCCUCUUUCCCCCGCGUCCGCACACCUCGGGAUGAAGCUGUCAAAGAGACUCAUGAUCGACCAAAUUCAGGCAGUCCAGUGAAGUGACACCCGACAAGGCCCUGUCAGUCCGUCCAGGAGGACAGAGAAGGAGGCCAUCAGGCUUAAAUUGGGUGCAGCAACCUCACCGUGAUAACUGCCUAGAGAAGCAGAGUUGCCGGUGCUGUUGACACAAGCAGAGUGGGGGGACGCGCCCAAGAAUUGGGCGCCACUAGUCUGAGUUCCACGUCACAUUCGAUCUGCUGUCGCACCUCUUCCUCAGGGACAGCAGGGACGACUCUAGGUGUCAUCUUCCCAGAACGAGGAGGAUAAACGUUCCUGCCCAGAACAGCGUUCGAGGGGGUCCCGCGGUGCUGCAAACUGGGGGUGGAGGCGGAGAGGUUUUGCUACUCCUGGAAAGAGAGAGGAAGCAUUGGGAGAGCGAGUCUCGGGGUUCUAAGAAAACCACCCCAGGCCUUAGGUGGGUACAUCAGGACUCAGCAUUAGCGCAUCAUUUUCUAAGUUGCUAGAUUAGGGAAACAAAACAAAACAAAACAAAAAGCAGAACUUUGGCUGUGGACAAAGAAAACAGAACAGGAAGAGGGUAGGGAGAGAAAAAGAGCGAGCAAGAGGGGGAAAAACACCUUUAACAUUUUUGCCAGAAGAUGAUGGGCGAACUAGAUCUGGAAAGAUCCAUCAAAGUCACAGGGUACGGACACACACCCUGCUCAGGCAGGACCCAAUGAGUCUGAUCUUAGCUCUUCUGAAGGUAGAAAAGAAAAAGGGGGUGGGGGGGAGGCAAUCUCCCUGCACUACCACCCCGAUGUAAACAUCUUUACCAUAUAUUCAUUAAAAGUUUUAAAACUGUUUUAUAAAAAUUGUAAGGAA